rnacentral:rRNA from 1 species
UACGUAGGGAGCAAGCGUUGUCCGGAAUUACUGGGCGUAAAGCGCUCGUAGGUGGUUUGUCGCGUUGUUCGUGAAAACUCACAGCUCAACUGUGGGCGUGCGGGCGAUACGGGCAGACUGGAGUACUGCAGGGGAGACUGGAAUUCCUGGUGUAGCGGUGGAAUGCGCAGAUAUCAGGAGGAACACCGGUGGCGAAGGCGGGUCGCUGGGCAGUAACUGACGCUGAGGAGCGAAAGCGUGGGGAGCGAACAGG